CAAAUUUCUGCUGCGCUCACUCUGGGCAUCCUUCUGACUGCCAGCAAUGUCUUUGGAAAGCUAGGAGCUCCAGGAGGACCUCAGAAGCUGCCCUUCGAAGCACCUGACCCUUUAAAGAUUUUCGAAAGUUUCCGUUUCGCUGUGUCUAUCUCGGAUGCCGACAUCGACACCGUGUUCGAGUGCUUGCAAGCCAGUCGGACUGCCUUCGACCCAGAGGAGAAGACCGCCACCUAUAUUUUCAUUUUCCCAAACACACAGGAAGAAAUUCCAUUUCACGUGACGGUUGGUGAUAACCCGGGAAAUUUUACAUUUACGGUGGAUGAAGACCCUACUCCACGCGAUGGCAUAUUUUAUUACAGCGAUUAUGUCAACUGCGACGUAGUGGACAUUGAGUUCCGUGGUCAUCAAUGCAUACUAUGGGCACAGAGACCAGUAAAAGACAACGUGCCACAGAACUGCAUCGACCACUUCGUUGACACCUGCGGCGUCGUGGUACCUGAACACAGCAGAGACCUCUGCCCUGAUGGAGAGGGUGACUACUAAUAAAUUCAUUGCUUCUCCAU
rnacentral:lncRNA from 1 species